rnacentral:rRNA from 1 species
UACGUAGGUGGCAAGCGUUGUCCGGAAUUAUUGGGCGUAAAGCGCGCGCAGGCGGCCUUUUAAGUCUGAUGUGAAAGCCCACGGCUCAACCGUGGAAGGUCAUUGGAAACUGAAAGGCUUGAGUACAGAAGAGGAAAGCGGAAUUCCACGUGUAGCGGUGAAAUGCGUAGAUAUCGGUAGGAACACCAGUGGCGAAGGCGGUCUCCUGGGGCAUUCUUGACGCUGAGGCGCGAAAGCUGGGGGAGCGAACGGG